GAUGAACGCUGGCGGCGUGCCUAAUACAUGCAGGUCGAGCGAACAGACGAGGAGCUUGCUCCUCUGACGUUAGCGGCGGACGGGUGAGUAACACGUGGAUAACCUACCUAUAAGACUGGGAUAACUUCGGGAAACCGGAGCUAAUACCGGAUAAUAUAUUGAACCGCAUGGUUCAAUAGUGAAAGACGGUUUUGCUGUCACUUAUAGAUGGAUCCGCACCGCAUUAGCUAGUUGGUAAGGUAACGGCUUACCAAGGCAACGAUGCGUAGCCGACCUGAGAGGGUGAUCGGCCACACUGGAACUAAAACACGGUCCAGACUCCUACGGGAGGCAGCAGUGGGGAAUCUUCCGCAAUGGGCGAAAGCCUGACGGAGCAACGCCGCGUGAGUGAUGAAGGUCUUCGGAUCGUAAAACUCUGUUAUUAGGGAAGAACAAAUGUGUAAGUAACUAUGCACGUCUUGACGGUACCUAAUCAGAAAGCCACGGCUAACUACGUG
rnacentral:rRNA from 1 species